rnacentral:rRNA from 1 species
UGGGGAAUUUUGCGCAAUGGGCGAAAGCCUGACGCAGCAAUACCGCGUGAGUGAUGAAGGCUCUUGGGUCGUAAAGCUCUGUCAGAGGGGAAGAACCUCCUGUCAUAUAAUACAUGGCAGGCCUGACGGUACCCUCAGAGGAAGCACCGGCUAACUCCGUGCCAGCAGCCGCGGUAAUACGGAGGGUGCAAACGUUGUUCGGAAUUAUUGGGCGUAAAGAGCAUGUAGGCGGUCUGUCAAGUCUGAUGUGAAAGCCCGGGGCUCAACCCCGGAAGUGCAUUGGAAACUGGCAGACUUGAGUACGGGAGAGGAAAGUGGAAUUUCGAGUGUAGGGGUGAAAUCCGUAGAUAUUCGAAGGAACACCAGUGGCGAAGGCGGCUUUCUGGACCGAUACUGACGCUGAGAUGCGAAAGCGUGGGGAGCAAACA